rnacentral:RNase_P_RNA from 1 species
AAGUUUGUUAGGAAAGUCCAUACUAGCACAAGCUGAGAUGCUUGUAGUGUUUGUGCUUAAUGAAAAAAUAAAUUAAGGUAGAAGCAAUUCUAACGGCUGAUGAUAUCCUAAACAUUUAUGCAUGGAUUGAAUCUUAAUGUGCCACAGUGACGAUACUUUCGGAAACGAAAGAGUGGAACGGGUAAACCCCUCAAGCUAGCAACCCAAAUUAUGGUAGGGGCACGACAACGAAGGAAAUGAACUUCAAUGUUGCACGUAAGUGAGAUAAAUGAUUACCACCUAGCAAUAGGUACAGAAUAUGGCUUAUA